GUUCAGGGGAAUGUCAUCUGGUUCGAGAUCAUUCAUUCAUUCUAAUCCAUCUCAAACACAGACUUUUUCCGAGUGAUUUCGGACCAGGCUUCAUUCCCCCGAGC
rnacentral:pre_miRNA from 1 species